AGCAGCCGCGGUAAUUCCAGCUCCAAUAGCGUAUAUUAAAGUUGUUGCAGUUAAAAAGCUCGUAGUUGAAUUUCGGGAUCAAUACGCCUGUCGUGCCUUUGGUACGUACGGGUGUAAUUGGUUUCUACCUUCUGAGGAUCCUUGAUGUCAUUAAUUUGGUGUCUUGGGGAAUCAGGACUGUUACCUUGAAAAAAUUAGAGUGUUUAAAGCAGGCAUACGCUUGAAUACAUUAGCAUGGAAUAAUGAAAUAGGACGUUCGAUUCUAUUUUGUUGGUUUCUAGGAUCGACGUAAUGAUUAAUAGGGAUAGUUGGGGGCAUUAGUAUUCAAUUGUCAGAGGUGAAAUUCUUGGAUUUAUUGAAGACUAACUACUGCGAAAGCAUUUGCCAAGGAUGUUUUCAUUAAUCAAGAACGAAAGUUAGGGGAUCGAAGACGAUCAGAUACCGUCGUAGUCUUAACCAUAAACUAUGCCGACUAGGGAUCGGAUGAUGUUAAUUUUUAAUGACUCAUUCGGCGCCUUAC
rnacentral:rRNA from 1 species